rnacentral:rRNA from 1 species
UACAGAGGUCUCAAGCGUUGUUCGGAUUCAUUGGGCGUAAAGGGUGCGUAGGUGGCGGGGUAAGUCAGAUGUGAAAUUUCGGAGCUUAACUCCGAAACUGCAUUUGAUACUGCCUUGCUUGAGGACUGGAGAGGAGACUGGAAUUUACGGUGUAGCAGUGAAAUGCGUAGAUAUCGUAAGGAAGACCAGUGGCGAAGGCGGGUCUCUGGACAGUUCCUGACACUGAGGCACGAAGGCUAGGGGAGCAAACGGG